GAUGAUAUAACUCAGUGAUAGAGUACAUGCUUAGAAUGCAUGAGUCCCUGAGUUCAAUUCCCAGCACACCA
rnacentral:tRNA from 1 species